CCCAACCUCCCCCCGAUCCCGUCGCCGCUGCCUCCUACCGAUGCGCCACCACUCCCGCCUCCUUCCGGCGCGCUGUCAUCCCCGCCUUCUUUCGGCGCGCCGUCAUCCCCGCACCCUACCGGCGCGCCGCCGGACCCUCCUUCUUCCCUGGAGCGCCGCCACCCCGCUGCCGCUGCCAUCUUCCCGAGCGCGCCGUUGCCGCCGUCUUCCCCAGAGUGCCACCGCCCCGCCACCCCCGCCCACGGGACCAGUGGUCCCAUCACCGGUCUCCCCCCACCCAGAUCUGUUGGAGGCGCACCGGAUCCUGCCUCACGGCCGGUUCCCGCGACUCAGCCGCCGCCCCAACCGCUGCAGUAGCCGAGCACCUCCACUAGGUGCCCCGGCGGUUCGGACCCCCACCUGGCCCCUCCCUCGAACCCAGCGAGCCUCCGCCCCGGCCUACUUCCCGCGCGAGGUCGCCUCCGCCUCCGCCUGGAUGGAUGGAUUCAGGAAGGUAUCCUUCCUCCCUGGGUGGAGCGAGCUGCAGAUCCCGUCCGGCCCUCGGGAACCGGCCAUCUCCGCCUCCUCCUCGCCGCUGCCGCUGGGGAUCACGUCUUCACCAAACGCGAGCUCCGCCCCAUCCGACCGACCGCAAAGGGAGGUACGACAUGGCGGAAACAAAACUGCACGGCAAUGUGCAUUUCUGCAACACAUCAGACGGAAGAAAAAGCAACAUGAAGUUCCUGUCUGCAUCAAACUGCUUUCACUUAUAUUCUGCCGAAUUUGUUCCUUCUAUGGGACUGUACAUGGGGAUUAUCUACAAGGGUUAUGUCCUCUGCAGGUAGAUUAUCUUAUAGGACAGGCGAAAUGCAACAGAAGAAGCUCCUCCGCUGCUACUCGCCAAACUCCAAGCAAAAAGGACCUUCCACUUUCCUUGCUAAUGGUGAGCAACUCAAAGAUGUCUAAAAGGGGCCUCAGUUUGUUCGGAAUCAGAUACAACCAUUUGAUCCAUUAUUGUUCGUGGGCGUCAUAUUUAAAAAAAAUUGGAUUUUGUAAAGUUUGCGGUUAAUAAGCCGGUGAGAGCUGAUGGUUCAGUUUGAUCCUGCAUAUUCUUGACCUCUUUCUCUGUCAGGAGGAUAUUCAAUACCAAGAUUUAUGAUUUGGCAUAAGUGAGAUGACAUACAAGUGAGUUUAAUUCGUCAGAGUGAAAUAGCAACAGUUUUCUUAUCAUACCGCCGGCAACUGCACCUCAACUGCGGAAAAAGAAAUCUUGAAGAACCAAGACCACCACCAGCUGGAAGAAGUUUGUCCAGUGGCUAAGGAAACAUUGGAUCUGCCUUCUUGGCUUAGGAGGCAUUGUGGGCGGCCAAUGCCUCCUUCCCCUUCCAUGGAGGCGGCGGAUCAACACGAACACAGAGGAAGGGAUGUGGGUGGAGAGUUGGGCGGUUUGCAGGGUCUCCUGGAUGGUCCAUGGAGAAGUUCGGUAUGAAGGAGAGAGGGUGCUAGCGAAGGCGAGGUGGGCGUCAUCCAGUUUUAAAUGAGAGGGCUCCAUCGACAAAUGUCACGCUACGAUGAAAAUCGAGCAGGAAGGGAAUGGUCUGACAGGAAAAGGAAAGGGUGUGUCGUGAGGUGGAUUUUUUUUUGUGUUGGGCCCUCUUUUUGUUGGAGAUAACAUGAUGAAUAGUCCGGACAACCAUAUUUCUCCUCCAUAUAUGGUAUGUAUUUGGGGAAGGCUGAAUUGUCUAGCUGGUUUAAUUUUGGGGUGCCGGCUGGGCACCCAUUUGAUGUCAAAACACCUUCGGACAUGGGAAGGAUAUAUGAGCUUCAACGUUGGAGACAAUCUUAAUUAUUUGUUUGAUUCA